UACGGAAGGGGCGAGCGUUGUUCGGAUUUACUGGGCGUAAAGCGUGCGUAGACGGUAGCGUAAGUCAGAUGUGAAAGCCCCGGGCUCAACCUGGGAAUUGCAUUUGAGACUGCUCUGCUCGGGUGCGGAAGAGGGAAGCGGAAUUUCCGGUGUAGCGGUGAAAUGCGUAGAUAUCGGAAGGAACACCAGUGGCGAAAGCGGCUUCCUGGUCCGACACCGACGUUCAGGCACGAAAGCGUGGGGAGCAAACAGG
rnacentral:rRNA from 1 species